GAUGAACGCUGGCGGCGUGCCUAACACAUGCAAGUCGAGCGAGAUUAAUGUGAGUGGAGACUUCGGUCAAAGCAAUCAUUAUGAAAGCGGCGGACGGGUGAGUAACGCGUGAGCAAUCUGCCCCAUACAAAGGGAUACCCACUGGAAACGGUGAUUAAUACCGCAUACCUUCACAUGAUCGCAUGGUCGAGUGAAGAAAGAUUCAUCGCUCUGGGAGGGUCUCGCGGCCUAUCAGCUUGUUGGUGGGGUAACGGCCUACCAAGGCAACGACGGGUAGCUGGUUUGAGAGAACGAUCAGCCACACUGGGACUGAGACACGGCCCAGACUCCUACGGGAGGCAGCAGUAGGGAAUCUUGCGCAAUGGGCGAAAGCCUGACGCAGCAACGCCGCGUGCGGGAUGACGGCCUUCGUGGUUGUAAACCGCUUUCAGCAGGGACGAAAUUGACGGUACCUGCAGAAGAAGCCCCGGCUAACUACGUGCCAGCAGCCGCAGUAAUAC
rnacentral:rRNA from 1 species